rnacentral:lncRNA from 1 species
UGAACUUUCUUCGGGAGACGUAAGCCUUGCUAAAAUUCAUACCUAAAAAUAUAAGCUUCAUCUGGGUACCUCCGUAUCUCGUGUUGGUAAUAACUAAGCUAGAAUCUUCUUUUUACACUGUACAUGCUUAAGAUGUGGUCUAUUAAGAAACUUUUUUUUUUUUUGAGAAAGAAAUAUGUAGCACGCUAUCCCUUUUGUUUAUUUCUUAAAAGAAUAAAUUUAGCUGAAAAUGUGAAUCAACUAGGAUUUGAACAUGGGACCUUAGGUAUCAACUAACAAGCCCUUUGCCACUUGCUCUAGGGACAAUUAUUGCCUACACCAGGACCACCAUUGAUAGAUAACCUCUUGC